AAUAAAUGCAGCCGUGGAUAUCCGUGUCCAACGAUUGACCAUCCGUCUUAUUUAAAAAAUUUGUGAAAAUAUUUAGUCACACAUAAAGUACUAUUUAUUUUUUAUCAUCUAAUAGCAAUAAAAAUACUAAUCAUAAAAAAAUUUCAAAUAAAACGAACGGUUAAACGUUGAACGUAAAUAGU
rnacentral:pre_miRNA from 1 species